GGACAUGCUAUUGAGAUAAUGAGUGAAGAUCAUUUUGUCUAUGACAAAUGCAACAAACAGUUCCCUGAUAUUGAAAGUUUAUAUCAGCACAAGGCCAAAGAUCAUGGUACGUCCUACCAAUGUGAUGUCUGUAAGGAAUUAGAAGCAAGAGAAGCAACUGGUAUUGGUUAUAUCUGUUGUGUCUGCGAUGUCGAGUUUGAAAUUGCCACUCAACUUGAA